rnacentral:rRNA from 1 species
CCUACGGGCGGCAGCAGUGAGGAAUAUUGGUCAAUGGCCGGAAGGCUGAACCAGCCAAGCCGCGUGAAGGACGAAGGUGCCAAGCAUUGUAAACUUCUUUUGUCAAGGGACAAAAUCAGGCUCGAGAGCCUGACCGAGGGUCCUUGAAGAAAAAGCAUCGGCUAACUCCGUGCCAGCAGCCGCGGUCAUACGGAGGAUGCGAGCUUUAUCCGGAUGUAUUGGGUUUAAGGGGUACGUAGGCGUACUGUUAAGGCAGCGGUAAAAGCCCGGGGCUCAACCCCGGCGAGCCGUUGAAACUGGCUGUCUUGAGAUGGCGAGAGGUAUGCGGAAUGCGCAGUGUAGCGGGGAAAUGCUUAGAUAUUGCGCAGAACUCCGAUUGCGAAGGCAGCAUACCGGCGGCGAUCUGACGCUGAGGCACGAAAGCGUGGGUAUCGAACAGGAUUAGAUACCCGUGUAGUC